AAAAAAAAAGAAAAAAAUUAGUUUUAAUAUAAAUUUAAAAAAGAAAUUAAAGUUAGAAAUAAAAAUUCUAAUAUUAAAAUAAAUGUAUUUAUACAUUUUUUUUUUAUUAUGAAUUAUUUAUUUUAAAAAUAAGUUUGAAUAAGUUUUUUAUAUAUAUUAUUUUAUAAAUAUGUAUAUUAAACUUUUUGAACUUAUUUUUAUUUAAGUUUUUAUUGUUUUAUAUUAAAACAAUUUUAUAUUUUUUUUUUUUCUUUAUAUAAAUAGUGUAAAAUUUAUAAUUAUCAUCAUUAUAAGAAUUUAAAAUAAUUAUUUAUUAAUUUUAUUGUAUAUUUAAACCAUUAAUUUAUAUUAUUAAGUUAAAUUCUAAAAUAAACUUUUUUUUAUUUUCUUUUUGAUAAUAUUAUUUUUAAAUAAUAAAUAUUAUGAGAAAGAAAAAAGUACUUUUUAAAAAUCAAUAAUAUCAAAUUAAGAAUAUAUAUUAUAAAUAUAAUAUAAGUUCGUUUAAUAUUGGAAAAUUCAGGAGGAAAAAAUUUUUCCUCUUGAAAAACAUGAAAGUAAUAUAACAUUAUAAAGUAUUAAAAUAAAUUAAAAUAGUUUUUUAUUGGUACUUUAAAAUCAUCUGUUUUUUUUAAUAGACCAUUUUAUUAAAAUUUUUGCUUCAUAUGAGGUAAAAGUUUUUUAUUAAGUAAAAAAAAAAAUACAUUAAUAAUAAUUAAAAUAUUAAAGUAUUUCUUUUAAUGUAAAUCUGU